GGCCUGGUGGUCUAGUAGUAUGAUUCCUUCUUAGGGUUAACAUGUGAUUUAGAUCACGUGACUCUACAUGGAGGAGGUCCCGGGUUCAAUUCCCGGCCAGGCCC
rnacentral:tRNA from 1 species